UACAGAGGUCUCAAGCGUUGUUCGGAUUCAUUGGGCGUAAAGGGUGCGUAGGCGGCGCGGUAAGUCGGGUGUGAAAUCUCGGGGCUUAACUCCGAAACUGCAUUCGAUACUGCCGUGCUUGAGGACUGGAGAGGAGACUGGAAUUUACGGUGUAGCAGUGAAAUGCGUAGAGAUCGUAAGGAAGACCAGUGGCGAAGGCGGGUCUCUGGACAGUUCCUGACACUGAGGCACGAAGGCCAGGGGGAGCAAACGGG
rnacentral:rRNA from 1 species